rnacentral:rRNA from 1 species
ACGGAAGGCGGCAGUGGGGAAUAUUGGGCAAUGGGCGAAAGUCUGACCCAGCGACGCCGCGUGAGGGAAGAAGGUCUUCGGAUUGUAAACCUCUUUCAGCAGGGAAGAAGCAAGUGACGGUACCUGCAGAAGAAGUCCCGGCUAACUACGUGCCAGCAGCCGCGGUAAUACGUAGGUGGCGAGCGUUAUCCGGAAUUACUGGGUGUAAAGGGUGUGUAGGCGGAGGAGCAAGUCAGGCGUGAAAUUUAUGGGCUCAACCCAGAAACUGCGCUUGAAACUGUUCCCCUUGAGAGUGGGAGAGGUAAACGGAAUUCCUGGUGUAGUAGUGAAAUGCGUAGAUAUCAGGAGGAACACCGGUGGCGAAGGCGGUUUACUGGACCACAACUGACGCUGAGACACGAAAGCGUGGGGAGCAAACAGGAUUAGAUACCCUGGUA